AAUUACUGGGCGUAAAGCGCACGCAGGCGGUCUGUCAAGUCGGAUGUGAAAUCCCCGGGCUCAACCUGGGAACUGCAUUCGAAACUGGCAGGCUUGAGUCUUGUAGAGGGGGGUAGAAUUCCAGGUGUAGCGGUGAAAUGCGUAGAGAUCUGGAGGAAUACCGGUGGCGAAGGCGGCCCCCUGGACAAAGACUGACGCUCAGGUGCGAAAGCGUGGGGAGCAAACAGGAUUAGAUACCCUGGUAGUCCACGCCGUAAACGAUGUCUACUUGGAGGUUGUGCCCUUGAGGCGUGGCUUCCGGAGCUAACGCGUUAAGUAGACCGCCUGGGGAGUACGGCCGCAAGGUUAAAACUCAAAUGAAUUGACGGGGGCCCGCACAAGCGGUGGAGCAUGUGGUUUAAUUCGAUGCAACGCGAAGAACC
rnacentral:rRNA from 4 species